rnacentral:lncRNA from 1 species
GCAUGUAGUUAGCUCUCUUCAGACAGUGUGUCACUCCUCCGACCCCACAACACAACCACUAAACCGCCUCACACGCUCUCAUUAAGCCGAACCUGGACUCAUAAUAUACCGUGGGCCUCCCAUUCUGGCCCACCGAACAGGGUGGGGGCCCAUAAGACACCGCCCCUUCCCGCUUGUCACGUGGCUAAGUCCAGGGCCUCCACGUUGGGCCGGUCUGUCGUGGCCGACAUGCAGCGACUUCACCCCGGAGAACGGGGACACGACCGCCCUGUCAUGGAUCCAGAGCCAAGCC